rnacentral:lncRNA from 1 species
UUGGAGAUGUUACUUGAAGUUUUAUUGAGUCUUCUUGUACCAAAGACAUUACUUAUAAGAAUUUUGUCAUGGAUCAUAUUGUGGAAUUCCAUUUUAGGAUUCUGUCAUGUAACUACUCUAUAUUAAGAUUCUAUGCAAGUUCUUUCUUCUAGUGUAUUACACAUUUUAGGAUUCUAUCAUGUAACUACUCUAUAUUAAGAUUCUAUGCAAGUUCUUUCUUCUGGUGUAUGACAUGUUUAGAGUAGUAUUCAUGGUAGUAAUUUGCUUCUUGCUUGAAAGCCCAGAAACACAAGGGGGAAGAAGAAGAGAGAUGAAAACCAAAACCCAACAUUCCAAUCCGUAGAUAUGCACAAAGCCACAAACAAAGAUGCAUCAACGAACAACCAAAGUACCCAGAUAAGAGAAAUCAUAAAACGUGGGACUGGGAUAAUGAAACCUUCUGAUAAACAAUGUUAGAAGGUUUUGUGGGCUUUAUUCUAAAGUAAGGUAAGCUCCAUUUGUCCAUUAUUGAUUGAAUUAAGAUCAGAUAUCAUCCCUUAAGAAUUUUGCAUCAUUUUCAUCCUGAAAGACAAAAAGGAAUAGAGGAAAACACUAUCACUGCAUCCUCACAGCAGGGGCUUCCACUAUAAUAUAAUCAUUCUGUUUUAGAAUUAGAAUAAAGGCAAACAAGAAAGGGCCCAUUAAAAGAAGUAAAACCAGAAUAAGGGGUAUCAAAAGCAAAAUUCCAUUAAUUUGUUAGAAAUCCAGAUUUACAUCUACAACUAUUUACAUCUGCAACUUUUGGGGUGCAUUUUUCUGCAGUUCGACUCAUACUUUCUGCAUCUAGGAUAUAGUUCAUUCAGAAAUGUAUUCUCAGCUUUCAGCAAAGUACGAAAAGUAUGAUUUUGGGAUCUUCCUAGGUCAAUAAUUUUUCUCCCCUCAUUUGAAAUAUAAUAACUUGGUCCUGAUACUAAUUUAACAUCUGCUUCCUUUUUGUUUUCUCUAAGGAAAUGGCUGGUUCUGAUAUUUUUAUCUAAUACUACAGCAAAAAGAAGAUUAUAGCAAUGAAGGUUAUGGAGUGAUCGGCUUCUACAAGAAAUGUAUUUUCUUUUAUCUUUCUCAUGGAAGAAGUCUAAAACUUAAAUCUUGAAAUGAAUAUUGACUAUAGCAAUGAAGGUUUAUGGAGUGUGGUUCUCCAGCUUGUUAGGUGGAAAAGGAUAGAUAAAUUGUUAGUUUUUCAUAGUGACUAUGGAGUCCCAAAACUCCAAAGUUGCACCAGUUAUCAUAGUCAC